UACGGAGGGUGCAAGCGUUAUCCGGAUUCACUGGGUUUAAAGGGUGCGUAGGCGGCUUGAUAAGUCAUUGGUGAAAGCUUACAGCUUAACUGUAAAACUGCCAAUGAAACUGCCAAGCUUGAAUCUGGUUGAAGUGGGCGGAAUACAACAUGUAGCGGUGAAAUGCUUAGAUAUGUUGUAGAACACCGAUUGCGAAGGCAGCUCACUAAGCCAACAUUGACGCUGAGGCACGAAAGCGUGGGUAGCGAACAGG
rnacentral:rRNA from 1 species